CCUACGGGUGGCAGCAGUGAGGAAUAUUGGUCAAUGGCCGGAAGGCUGAACCAGCCAAGUCGCGUGAGGGAAGACGGCCCUACGGGUUGUAAACCUCUUUUGUCAGGGAGCAAAGUGCAGGUCGGGACCUGCUGGGAGAGUACCUGAAGAAAAAGCAUCGGCUAGCUCCGUGCCAGCAGCCGCGGUAAUCCGGGGGAUGGGAGGGUUGUCCGGAUUUAUUGGGUUGAAAGGGUGCGAAGGCGGAGUCACAAGUCAGCGGUAAAAUCGCGGGGCGCAACCCCGCCCCGCCGUUGAAACUGUGUCCCUUGAGUGCGCGAAGGGUAGGCGGAAUGCGUGGUGUAGCGGUGAAAUGCAUAGAUAUCACGCAGAACGCCGAUCGCGAAGGCAGCCUACCGGCGCGCAACUGACGCUCAUGCACGAAAGCGUGGGUAUCGAACAGGAUUAGAUACCCUGGUAGUC
rnacentral:rRNA from 1 species